rnacentral:rRNA from 1 species
CCUACGGGUGGCUGCAGUGGGGAAUAUUGGGCAAUGGGCGCAAGCCUGACCCAGCAACGCCACGUGAAGGAAGAAGGCUCUCGGGUUGUAAACCUCCUUUAUCAGGGACGAAGCAAGUGACGGUACCUGACGAAUAAGCCACGGCUAACUACGUGCCAGCAGCCGCGGUAAUACGUAGGUGGCAAGCGUUAUCCGGAUUUACUGGGUGUAAAGGGCGUGUAGGCGGGAGUGCAAGUCAGAUGUGAAAACUAUGGGCUCAACCCAUAGCCUGCAUUUGAAACUGUACUUCUUGAGUGCUGGAGAGGCAAUCGGAAUGCCGUGUGUAGCGGUGAAAUGCGUAGAUAUACGGAGGAACACCAGUGGCGAAGGCGGAUUGCUGGACAGUAACUGACGCUGAGGCGCGAAAGCGUGGGGAGCAAACAGGAUUAGAUACCCGAGUAGUC